rnacentral:rRNA from 1 species
GUGGGGAAUAUUGCACAAUGGGCGCAAGCCUGAUGCAGCAAUGCCGCGUGUGUGAAGAAGGCCUGCGGGUUGUAAAGCACUUUCAGUAGGGAGGAAAGGGUUAAGGUUAAUAGCCUUGAUCUGUGACGUUACCUACAGAAGAAGCACCGGCUAACUCCGUGCCAGCAGCCGCGGUAAUACGGAGGGUGCGAGCGUUAAUCGGAAUUACUGGGCGUAAAGCGCGCGUAGGCGGCUUGGUCAGUCGGAUGUGAAAGCCCCGGGCUCAACCUGGGAAUUGCAUUCGAUACUGCCAGGCUAGAGUAUGUUAGAGGAAAGUGGAAUUCCCGGUGUAGCGGUGAAAUGCGUAGAUAUCGGGAGGAACAUCAGUGGCGAAGGCGACUUUCUGGAUCAAUACUGACGCUGAGGUGCGAAAGCGUGGGGAGCAAACAGG